UGGGGAAUAUUGCACAAUGGGGGAAACCCUGAUGCAGCGACGCCGCGUGAGCGAAGAAGUAUUUCGGUAUGUAAAGCUCUAUCAGCAGGGAAGAUGAUGACGGUACCUGACUAAGAAGCCCCGGCUAACUACGUGCCAGCAGCCGCGGUAAUACGUAGGGGGCAAGCGUUAUCCGGAUUUACUGGGUGUAAAGGGAGCGUAGACGGCGAAGCAAGUUUGGUGUGAAAACCCGGGGCUCAACCCCGGGCCUGCAUUGGAAACUGUUUUGCUUGAGUGCCGGAGAGGUAAGCGGAAUUCCUAGUGUAGCGGUGAAAUGCGUAGAUAUUAGGAGGAACACCAGUGGCGAAGGCGGCUUACUGGACGGUAACUGACGUUGAGGCUCGAAAGCGUGGGGAGCAAACA
rnacentral:rRNA from 1 species